GAAGAAUUAGUUAAAUAAUAACAUUAGAUUGUCAGACUAAAAUUAUCAAAAUUUGAUAUCCUUCU
rnacentral:tRNA from 1 species